rnacentral:rRNA from 1 species
AUGAACGCUAGCUACAGGCUUAACACAUGCAAGUCGAGGGGCAUCAGGAAGAAAGCUUGCUUUCUUUGCUGGCGACCGGCGCACGGGUGAGUAACACGUAUCCAACCUGCCCUUUACUCGGGGAUAGCCUUUCGAAAGAAAGAUUAAUACCCGAUAGCAUAAUGAUUCCGCAUGGUUUCAUUAUUAAAGGAUUCCGGUAAAGGAUGGGGAUGCGUUCCAUUAGGUUGUUGGUGAGGUAACGGCUCACCAAGCCUUCGAUGGAUAGGGGUUCUGAGAGGAAGGUCCCCCACAUUGGAACUGAGACACGGUCCAAACUCCUACGGGAGGCAGCAGUGAGGAAUAUUGGUCAAUGGGCGCUAGCCUGAACCAGCCAAGUAGCGUGAAGGAUGAAGGCUCUAUGGGUCGUAAACUUCUUUUAUAUAAGAAUAAAGUGCAGUAUGUAUACUGUUUUGUAUGUAUUAUAUGAAUAAGGAUCGGCUAACUCCGUGCCAGCAGCCGCGGUAAUACGGAGGAUCCGAGCGUUAUCCGGAUUUAUUGGGUUUAAAGGGAGCGUAGGUGGACUGGUAAGUCAGUUGUGAAAGUUUGCGGCUCAACCGUAAAAUUGCAGUUGAUACUGUCAGUCUUGAGUACAGUAGAGGUGGGCGGAAUUCGUGGUGUAGCGGUGAAAUGCUUAGAUAUCACGAAGAACUCCGAUUGCGAAGGCAGCUCACUGGACUGCAACUGACACUGAUGCUCGAAAGUGUGGGUAUCAAACAGGAUUAGAUACCCUGGUAGUCCACACAGUAAACGAUGAAUACUCGCUGUUUGCGAUAUACAGUAAGCGGCCAAGCGAAAGCAUUAAGUAUUCCACCUGGGGAGUACGCCGGCAACGGUGAAACUCAAAGGAAUUGACGGGGGCCCGCACAAGCGGAGGAACAUGUGGUUUAAUUCGAUGAUACGCGAGGAACCUUACCCGGGCUUAAAUUGCAGUGGAAUGAUGUGGAAACAUGUCAGUGAGCAAUCACCGCUGUGAAGGUGCUGCAUGGUUGUCGUCAGUUCGUGCCGUGAGGUGUCGGCUUAAGUGCCAUAACGAGCGCAACCCUUAUCUUCAGUUACUAACAGGUCAUGCUGAGGACUCUGGAGAGACUGCCGUCGUAAGAUGUGAGGAAGGUGGGGAUGACGUCAAAUCAGCACGGCCCUUACGUCCGGGGCUACACACGUGUUACAAUGGGGGGUACAGAAGGCAGCUAGCGGGUGACCGUAUGCUAAUCCCAAAAUCCUCUCUCAGUUCGGAUCGAAGUCUGCAACCCGACUUCGUGAAGCUGGAUUCGCUAGUAAUCGCGCAUCAGCCACGGCGCGGUGAAUACGUUCCCGGGCCUUGUACACACCGCCCGUCAAGCCAUGGGAGCCGGGGGUACCUGAAGUACGUAACCGCAAGGAUCGUCCUAGGGUAAAACUGGUGACUGGGGCU